rnacentral:rRNA from 1 species
GACGGAGGAUGCAAGUGUUAUCCGGAAUCACUGGGCGUAAAGCGUCUGUAGGUGGUUCAAUAAGUCAACUGUUAAAUCUUGAGGCUCAACCUCAAAAAUCGCAGUCGAAACUAUUAAACUAGAGUAUAGUAGGGGUAAAGGGAAUUUCCAGUGGAGCGGUGAAAUGCGUAGAGAUUGGAAAGAACACCGAUGGCGAAGGCACUUUACUGGGCUAUUACUAACACUGAGAGACGAAAGCUAGGGUAGCAAAUGGG